AUUAGUUUGUGUGGUUAAAAGUGGUAUUGCACUUCCUCAACUGAAUGAAUUUGCUUAAGACUACUAAAAGAGGAAGACGUGCCAUCAAAUCGGCAGUCAUGGGACGUAUUUCCCCCAUGGAGGUCUUCAGCUUCAGAUGUGCACCGCUUUGAUUUCUCUGACCCAACAAGGAGCACUGGGAUUGGUGUGCGCUGCUGGAAUGCUAAUAUGUUCCUGGAAAGGGAGACGCUGUCAGCCUGUUGGCAGACAAGAGGAGAUCAAGCUGACGAGUCACAGUGAUACACUUAGGGGCCCUAUUCAUGUCUGCCCCCGCGACACACACUGGGCCCAUUGUGGCGAGGAAUGUCUCCUUUCAGGGCCUGAAGCUGCCUGUGAAAGCACGUCAAUAAUCCCGAGUCAGUGGGUGCUUCACAAUGCUGCUGAGACCAUCCCACCGACCAGACCACUGUGGAGAUGGGCCCCAGCUCUGCUCCGCUCCGUGGAAAAGUGACCGGGACGGUUGAAAGAGGGGGCGGCUGAAUGGAUGAAGUAAUUAAUCUGGUGCAUGCUGAUAAAUAAACAGCUCCACAAAGGUGAGACCACUUUCCCAAGAAGAAAGGAGCUAAUCAGUAUUGAAGCUGUGUGCGAUCUCUCUUCAUUUAUAACUCCACAUACCACACCGAAUAUCUGGAGAGCUGCUUUAUUGCUUUGCACAGCUCCCUGUUGUUUUCACACUGCAGGCCUCCAAAAGGCGAGUGAACACGGCUUGUCCUCUCAGGAAGUAUCAAGCUUCUGGUGUACAGCCGAGGCAGAAACCAGCAUCGGCCCGC
ensembl:lncRNA